UACAGAGGUGGCAAGCGUUGUUCGGAAUUACUGGGCGUAAAGGGCGCGUAGGCGGUCUUCUAAGUCUUGUGUGAAAUCCCUCGGCUCAACUGAGGAACUGCACGGGAUACUGGAUGACUUGAGUUCGGGAGAGGGAAGCGGAAUUCCUGGUGUAGCGGUGAAAUGCGCAGAUAUCAGGAGGAACACCAGUGGCGAAGGCGGUGCUCUGGGCCGGAACUGACGCUGAGGAGCGAAAGCGUGGGGAGCAAACAGG
rnacentral:rRNA from 1 species